UAAGUUCAUGCAUGCCAAGUGUUUGUUAAAAAGCCUUAGUGAAUAGAUUGUGACAUGUUAGCAUGAAAUUCCCUAAUUAUGUGCUCUUCAAUGCAUGUAAAAUGUCUGUUUUAAGACAUUGUUGAAUGGAGUAUGAGCCAGUUGCAUGUCUCCCUAUACUAUUACAUGUUUAUGAUUUCCAAGUUCUUGAAGAGUUGCUUUAAUGAUUUUAUUGGUGAAUGAUAGUCCAUGGUCA
rnacentral:lncRNA from 1 species